CAAGGCGUAGCUACAACUACCAAAGCAUUCAGCUUACACCUGAAAGAUGUCUACCACACUAGACCGCCUUGA
rnacentral:tRNA from 1 species